rnacentral:tRNA from 1 species
GGAGGCUACAGCACAGUGGUAGAGUGCCUGCUUAGCAUGCACAGUCCUGGGUUCAAUCCCCAGUGCCUCCA